rnacentral:rRNA from 1 species
AANNCUGCAUGUNUAAGUAUAAGCAAUUAUACCGUGAAACUGCGAAUGGCUCAUUAAAUCAGUUAUCGUUUAUUUGAUAAUACCUUACUACUUGGAUAACCGUGGUAAUUCUAGAGCUAAUACAUGCUGAAAAUCCCGACUUCGGAAGGGAUGUGUUUAUUAGAUAAAAAACCAAUGCCCUUCGGGGCUUUUUGGUGAUUCAUGAUAACUUUACGGAUCGCAUAGCCUUGCGCUGGCGACGGUUCAUUCAAAUUUCUGCCCUAUCAACUUUCGAUGGUAAGGUAUUGGCUUACCAUGGUUUCAACGGGUAACGGGGAAUUAGGGUUCGAUUCCGGAGAGGGAGCCUGAGAAACGGCUACCACAUCCAAGGAAGGCAGCAGGCGCGCAAAUUACCCAAUCCCGACACGGGGAGGUAGUGACAAUAAAUACUGAUACAGGGCUCUUUUGGGUCUUGUAAUUGGAAUGAGUACAAUUUAAACCUCUUAACGAGGAACAAUUGGAGGGCAAGUCUGGUGCCAGCAGCCGCGGUAAUUCCAGCUCCAAUAGCGUAUAUUAAAGUUGUUGCAGUUAAAAAGCUCGUAGUUGAAACUUGGGCCUGGCUGGCGGGUCCGCCUCACCGCGUGCACUCGUCCGGCCGGGCCUUCCUUCUGAAGAACCUCAUGCCCUUCACUGGGCGUGCUGGGGAAUCAGGACUUUUACUUUGAAAAAAUUAGAGUGUUCAAAGCAGGCCUUUGCUCGAAUACGUUAGCAUGGAAUAAUAAAAUAGGGCGUGCGUUUCUAUUUUGUUGGUUUCUAGAGACGCCGCAAUGAUUAACAGGAACAGUCGGGGGCAUCAGUAUUCCGUUGUCANAGGUGAAAUUCUUGGAUUUACGGAAGACUAACUACUGCGAAAGCAUUNGCCAAGGAUGUUUUCAUUAAUCAGUGAACGAAAGUUAGGGGAUCGNANACGANCAGANNCCGNNNNANNCUUAACCCGUNAAACUAUGCCGNNUAGGGNUCGGG